UUGCUCUCUUUAGCCACACAUACACUAAUAUUAGAAGGAAACUGAGAAGAUUCGCAUGCCCCCUUUAUGCAAGGAUGACAUGUAAAUUUGUGAGGUGCACCAUGUUUUU